UACGUAGGGUGCGAGCGUUGUCCGGAUUUAUUGGGCGUAAAGGGCUCGUAGGCGGCCCGUCGCGUCGGAAGUGAAAGCCCACUGCUUAACGGUGGGUCUGCUUCCGGUACGGGCAGGCUGGAGUAUGGCAGGGGAGACUGGAAUUCCUGGUGUAGCGGUGGAAUGCGCAGAUAUCAGGAGGAACACCGGUGGCGAAGGCGGGUCUCUGGGCCAUUACUGACGCUGAGGAGCGAAAGCGUGGGGAGCGAACAGG
rnacentral:rRNA from 1 species